GAGUGAGGAAACUGCAUCAACCUAUCAUCACAGGACAUGGUUGACUACAAAAUGUAUGUAAAGUCUUCACUUCCCUGGAUACAUUGUAACGGGACAUUGUGCUGCCACUGAAGAGAGGUUUUUUUCUCCAAUGCUUGAAUGUAGGUUGGCCUUUGACUGGCAUUGGCCAGUUAUUGUAGAGCAAACAUGACACAAGCAGAGUCUUGUUAAGUGCCUGCAUGUGGGGCCUGCUCUCCUGGCUUGCUGACGUGACCAUGUGAAACAUCCCAUCCUAUCAGAGGAGGAGCAGCAUCAGCAGAAAUACUUCAUCCAUCUUUCAGAACUGUACAUCAGCCGUUCCAUUCAGACAAACAUCAGGACCCCAUGGACAGAAGCCAUCCUGUCGCCAGCUACUGACAUGACCACAGUUGCAUGAGAAGCAGCCGCAGGGAAGGGAAAGAAGCCAGACCCAGAAAGGCACCUAUUGUAUGGCUCCAUUAUGUGAAAUAUCACACAAUACGUCCCCGUAUUGAACCUAAGAAGGUAGAGGAAUAAACCUACACCAGUAGGAUGAAACACAAAUCUUAAAACUCAAAAGGAAAAAAAUGUAUAAUUUAAAUAUCAGAAAGCACAAGAAUGACUGGGAUAGGAUGAGAAAGCAAUGAAAAAUGGAGAUUAAAAAUAAUGAAUUCUUAAACAAAAAAUGUUGAAAGUAAAGAGCGUAAGUUAUUAACAUAUAGGAAAACAAAUGGAGAAAUGAAUUAAAAAUAAAGAUUUGAAGACAACAAACAGUCAUGAAAUACAAAAUAGAGGAGGGAGAAAUUGGAAUGCAUGAUAGAUACACAAAAAAAGAAAGAUACUAGGAACAGAAACAAAAGACAAUGCAAA